UACGUAGGUGACCAGCGUUGUCCGGAUUUACUGGGCGUAAAGAGCGCGCAGGCGGUCGUUCAAGUCGAGUGUGAAAGCCCCCGGCUCAACUGGGGAGGGUCAUUCGAUACUGAUCGACUCGAAGGCAGGAGAGGGAAGCGGAAUUCCCGGUGUAGUGGUGAAAAUGCGUAGAUAUCGGGAGGAACACCAGUGGCGAAGGCGGCUUCCUGGCCUGUUCUUGACGCUGAGGCGCGAAAGCUAGGGGAGCAAACGGGG
rnacentral:rRNA from 1 species